AUGGCUCAGGACGAACGCUGGCGGCGUGCUUAACACAUGCAAGUCGAGCGAUGAAGCUCUUCGGAAGUGGAUUAGCGGCGGACGGGUGAGUAACACGUGGGUAACCUGCCUCAUAGAGGGGAAUAGCCUUCCGAAAGGAAGAUUAAUACCGCAUAAGAUUGUAAUAUCGCAUGAUAUAGCAAUUAAAGGAGUAAUCCGCUAUGAGAUGGACCCGCGUCGCAUUAGCUAGUUGGUGAGGUAACGGCUCACCAAGGCGACGAUGCGUAGCCGACCUGAGAGGGUGAUCGGCCACAUUGGGACUGAGACACGGCCCAGACUCCUACGGGAGGCAGCAGUGGGGAAUAUUGCACAAUGGGGGAAACCCUGAUGCAGCAAACCGCCGCGUGAGUGAUGACGGUCUUCGGAUUGUAAAGCUCUGUCUUCAGGGACGAUAAUGACGGUACCUGAGGAGGAAGCCACGGCUAACUACGUGCCAGCAGCAGC
rnacentral:rRNA from 1 species